rnacentral:rRNA from 1 species
AGAGGAAGCAAGCGUUGUUCGGAAUCACUGGGCUUAAAGCGGGUGUAGGUGGCUUAGAAAGUGUUGUGUGAAAGCCCAUGGCUCAACCAUGGAAAUGCACGGCAAACUUCUAGGCUUGAGGUCGGUAGAGGUACCUGGAACUCUAGGUGGAGCGGUGAAAUGCGUAGAUAUCUAGAGGAACGCCGGAGGCGAAAGCGGGGUACUGGGCCGAUUCUGACACUGAGACCCGAAAGCGUGGGGAGCAAACAGGGAUUAGAUACCCUGGUAGUCCACGCCGUAAACUAUGCACACUAGACGUUGGAAUCUCUGACGAUGUCAGCGUCGAAGCAAAAGUGUAAGUGUGCCGCCUGGGAGUACGGCCGCAAGGCUA